rnacentral:rRNA from 1 species
GAUGAACGCUGGCGGCGUGCCUAAUACAUGCAAGUCGAGCGAACAGAUGAGGAGCUUGCUCCUCUGACGUUAGCGGCGGACGGGUGAGUAACACGUGGAUAACCUACCUAUAAGACUGGGAUAACUUCGGGAAACCGGAGCUAAUACCGGAUAAUAUAUUGAACCGCAUGGUUCAAUAGUGAAAGACGGUUUUGCUGUCACUUAUAGAUGGAUCCGCGCCGCAUUAGCUAGUUGGUAAGGUAACGGCUUACCAAGGCAACGAUGCGUAGCCGACCUGAGAGGUUGAUCGGCCACACUGGAACUUAGACACGGUCCAGACUCCUACGGGAGGCAGCAGUAGGGAAUCUUCCGCAAUGGGCGAAAGCCUGACGGAGCAACGCCGCGUGAGUGAUGAAGGUCUUCGGAUCGUAAAACUCUGUUAUUAGGGAAGAACAAAUGUGUAAGUAACUAUGCACGUCUUGACGGUACCUAAUCAGAAAGCCACGGCUAACUACGUG